AUGGAACAAGAUGACACAAUAAAAAAUGUUGAAAACCCUUGUUACAUCUCCAACUGCAUAAUGUCUCCACCUUGUUUCCAAGUCCCAAACGAGUUCCAAUACUCUAAAAUCCAUUACACUCCCAUUAAGAGAAAGUGGAGAUGGAGGAACCUACUUACAAAGUUCUUGAGAGAGAGGUCUAAGAUCUUGAGUAGACACAAACACAUUUCUUUUCAAUAUGAUCCUGUUAGCUACUCGCAGAAUUUCGAUGAAGGGAUUCGGCUCGAUGAAGAACCUAGACGACUUUCACAUGUUUGUCAAGAUGUUAGGUCUCAGGAAUCGAUUAUCCAUGUAUGUUGA